AGGUCUCUUUUUGAUACACAAAGUGUAUUUAUAAGCUUGGAAAUAACACACAUGGUAAGUACUGCCCUUAAGAGAGACUCCAUACAUCUCUAGGAGGAGAAAGACAGUGUGGGAAUAAAUACUUAAUAGGAAAGUAAAAAUCAGUAGGGGGAAAGAAGGGAAGAGAAAGAACAUGGCAUUUCCCUCUGACAGGCAGAAUUUUCACCAUUAUUUGUCAUACGCUGAGGAUGUCAAGGAAUUUUAAGGCUGCACUCUCUGCAUUUUUCGAGGUUAUUAAUGAAAUAGCAUAGCAAGGUGAAUUACAUUAAACUAUUUUUUCGAGCCAUUCCAGAAAUCUUCGUCCAAGUUGGCACGAAGCUGGAAAGUCGUGAACUUUUGACCGGAGCUCGGAUUGCUGGGAGACACAUCCUCCUCGUUAGUUUCGGGUGACAGCUCACUGUACCAGAGACUCUCUGCAGAGGAGAGAGAGAAGAGGGGGAGGAAGAACAGCUGAGGCGCCUUUGAGAUCAACCCACCUCAACCAAGCACUUCCUGCCAGCAACCAUCUUGGAAUGGCGGGUUAUUGGCAAAACCUAGAUUUGCACUUUCUGUAUUGAAUCUCUAGGAUUCUUUAAGUCAAAGCUUCUUAAACUGGAUGUCAUGUGGGAUUGCACAACUGAAUGGAAGAUCCUCAAAAAUUUGGAAACAGUAAAAGUCUACUUGAUGAUGAUGAAGAAGAGGAAGGAGAAGAAGAAGAAGAAGAAG